rnacentral:lncRNA from 1 species
CUGAGCGGCUGGGACCUUGAGAGCGGCCAGGCCAGCCUCGGAGCCAGCAGGGAGCUGGGAGCUGGGGGAAACGACGCCAGGAAAGCUAUCGCGCCAGAGAGGGCGACGGGGGCUCGGGAAGCCUGACAGGGCUUUUGCGCACAGCUGCCGGCUGGCUGCUACCCGCCCGCGCCAGCCCCCGAGAACGCGCGACCAGGCACCCAGUCCGGUCACCGCAGCGGAGAGCUCGCCGCUCGCUGCAGCGAGGCCCGGAGCGGCCCCGCAGGGACCCUCCCCAGACCGCCUGGGCCGCCCGG